rnacentral:lncRNA from 12 species
GGCCUCCAGAAACAUCUUAACAAGAGAAUGGAUGAAACGAUUAGGCAAGGAGGAGAAACGAAUUACUAUACAGAAUUUAAAAGGACAAAUUUUGUCGUUUAAAAGAAGAUACGGGAUAGGAAGAUCCAAAACCACAAAGCUUUCUGGGCUCUUCUGAUGGUGCACACAACUUCCCCAGAAGUUACAUGAAUCUUCAACCAAGGGUUAUUUAUCAUCAUGCUUCAAGAUAUAGAAGGUUCCUAAUUCUACCUUCUCAGGCACUCUUGAUGGUUUCACUAUUCAAGACACCAUGCUUCAUCACGUGGACUUUACCUUCUAGAACUCCAAAUCAUAUAAUAAUACUACUUAAUAUUUGUUAGUGUGCACUGGCAUCGAUCUAAGCCCUAUGGGGUCGCCCAACAACUCCAUAAACUGGAUGCUAUUGUCAUCUCAAUCUUACAAAUGAAACAAAUAUUCCAAGGAGCCAAAGUUAAGUGAGGACACAGAAUUCAAAUUCUGAUGUGUCUUCUGCGAAAGCAUACUCUAGCAUUAGGCUCUACUGUUUCCUGACAUAUAUAAACUCAGGAGCACAAACACUGAUUAAGGGUGAUCUACCCCAGCAGCAGUUUCCUGAAGAAAUGGUUUAUUCCUUCCUGCUACCUAGAUCUACAGGGCUACCAGGGUUUUAAUUUUUUUUUUUUUGGUUGAUUUCAUUUGCAUGACUGCACUGUAGUCUAAUAAAUUGGCUUUUUGACAUCUAUCUGGAGUCA